rnacentral:rRNA from 1 species
AUUGAACGCUGGCGGCAGGCCUAACACAUGCAAGUCGAGCGGAUGAAGGGAGCUUGCUCCUGGAUUCAGCGGCGGACGGGUGAGUAAUGCCUAGGAAUCUGCCUGGUAGUGGGGGAUAACGUCCGGAAACGGGCGCUAAUACCGCAUACGUCCUGAGGGAGAAAGUGGGGGAUCUUCGGACCUCACGCUAUCAGAUGAGCCUAGGUCGGAUUAGCUAGUUGGUGGGGUAAAGGCCUACCAAGGCGACGAUCCGUAACUGGUCUGAGAGGAUGAUCAGUCACAAUGGAACUGAGACACGGUCCAGACUCCUACGGGAGGCAGCAGUGGGGAAUAUUGGACAAUGGGCGAAAGCCUGAUCCAGCCAUGCCGCGUGUGUGAAGAAGGUCUUCGGAUUGUAAAGCACUUUAAGUUGGGAGGAAGGGCAGUAAGUUAAUACCCUGCUGUUUUGACGUUACCAACAGAAUAAGCACCGGCUAACUUCGUG